rnacentral:rRNA from 1 species
UACGUAGGGUGCAAACGUUGUUCGGAAUCACUGGGCAUAAAGAGCGCGUAGGCGGUCUGAUAAGUCCUGUGUGAAAGCCCCCGGCUCAACCGGGGAAUUGCACAGGAUACUGUCGGGCUAGAGUACAGGAGGGGAGAGCGGAAUUCCUGGUGGAGCGGUGAAAUGCGUAGAUAUCAGGAGGAACGCCAGUGGCGAAAGCGGCUCUCUGGUCUGUUACUGACGCUGAGGUGCGAAAGCUAGGGGAGCAAACGGG